CCGCUACUUUCGGUUUUCUUCAGAGUCGGCCGCGGGCCCCGAGCUCCCGGAACGACGCCGGUCCGACCCCAGACCCUGCAGAGGUGAAGCGGGUGCGGCGACCCGAGACAGGCAGCCCCGCGGCGCCUCCGCCCUCCGCUGCCCGACCCGGCGCGCAGAAAGUGACCGUUUGCGUGCGGCGUCGCGGGACAGCCGCCCCGGCCGGACGCUCGCGCCUGUGCAUGCGCCCCCCGCCCCUCGCGUGCGCGGCGGCCGCUCGGCUUGGGUCCUCAGCCCCGCGGCGGGACGCGAGGCGACAGGAUGUCGCAGUGGUACGAGCUGCAGCAGCUUGACUCCAAAUUCCUGGAGCAGGUUCACCAGCUCUACGAUGACAGUUUUCCCAUGGAAAUCAGACAGUACCUGGCACAGUGGCUAGAAAAACAAGACUGGGAGCAUGCUGCUAAUGACGUUUCAUUUGCCACCAUCCGUUUUCAUGACCUCCUGUCCCAGCUGGAUGAUCAGUAUAGUCGCUUUUCUUUGGAGAAUAAUUUUUUGUUGCAGCAUAACAUAAGGAAAAGCAAGCGUAAUCUUCAGGAUAAUUUUCAGGAAGACCCAGUACAGAUGUCUAUGAUCAUCUGUAACUGUCUGAAGGAAGAAAGGAGGAUCCUGGAAAAUGCUCAGAGAUUCAAUCAGGCGCAGUCGGGGAGUAUCCAGAGCACUGUGAUGUUAGACAAACAGAAGGAGCUGGACAGCAAAGUCAGAAAUGUGAAGGAUAAGGUUAUGUGUAUAGAGCAUGAAAUAAAGACCUUAGAAGAUUUACAAGACGAGUAUGACUUCAAGUGCAAAACCUUGCAGAACAGAGAGCAUGAAACCAAUGGCGUGGCAAAGAAUGAUCAGAAACAAGAACAGUUGUUAAUCCAGAAGAUGUAUUUAAUGCUCGACAAUAAGAGAAAGGAAGUAGUUCUCAAAAUAAUAGAGUUGUUGAAUGUCACGGAACUUACCCAGAAAGCCCUCAUCAAUGAUGAGCUGGUGGAAUGGAAGCAGAGACAACAGAGCGCCUGUAUCGGGGGGCCCCCCAACGCUUGUCUUGAUCAGCUGCAGAACUGGUUCACCAUAGUUGCGGAGAGUCUGCAGCAGGUGCGUCAGCAGCUGAAAAAGCUCGAGGAGCUGGAACAGAAAUACACCUAUGAACACGACCCUAUCACAAAAAACAAACAAGGCCUGUGGGACCGCACCUUCAGCCUUUUCCAGCAGCUCAUUCAGAGCUCAUUUGUGGUGGAAAGACAGCCUUGCAUGCCAACUCAUCCUCAGAGGCCGCUGGUCUUGAAGACCGGGGUCCAGUUCACCGUGAAGUUGAGACUGCUGGUGAAAUUGCAAGAGCUGAAUUAUAAUUUGAAAGUCAAAGUCUUAUUUGAUAAAGAUGUGAAUGAGAGGAAUACAGUAAAAGGAUUCAGGAAGUUCAACAUUUUGGGCACGCACACGAAAGUGAUGAACAUGGAGGAGUCCACCAAUGGGAGUCUGGCGGCGGAGUUCCGGCACCUGCAACUGAAGGAACAGAAAAAUGCUGGCACCAGAACUAACGAGGGCCCUCUCAUCGUUACUGAGGAGCUUCACUCCCUCAGUUUUGAGACCCAGCUGUGCCAGCCUGGUUUGGUCAUUGACCUCGAGACGACCUCUCUGCCCGUUGUGGUGAUCUCCAACGUCAGCCAGCUGCCGAGUGGUUGGGCCUCCAUCCUGUGGUACAACAUGCUGGUGACAGAACCCCGGAAUCUGUCCUUCUUCUUGAACCCACCUUGUGCACGAUGGUCUCAGCUCUCGGAGGUACUCAGCUGGCAGUUUUCUUCUGUCACCAAAAGAGGUCUCAAUGUGGACCAGCUCAACAUGCUCGGAGAGAAACUACUCGGUCCUAAUGCUGGCCCUGAUGGUCUCAUUCCAUGGACAAGGUUCUGUAAGGAAAACAUAAAUGAUAAAAAUUUUCCCUUCUGGCUUUGGAUUGAAAGCAUCCUUGAACUCAUUAAAAAACACCUGCUCUCUCUCUGGAAUGAUGGGUGUAUCGUGGGCUUCAUCAGCAAGGAGCGGGAGCGCGCGCUGCUGAAGGACCAGCAACCCGGGACGUUCCUGCUGCGCUUCAGCGAAAGCUGCCGUGAAGGCGCCAUCACGUUCACGUGGGUGGAGCGCCCGCAGAACGGAGGAGAACCUCACUUCCAUGCCGUUGAGCCCUACACAAAGAAAGAACUUUCUGCUGUUACUUUCCCUGACAUUAUUCGCAAUUACAAGGUUAUGGCUGCUGAAAAUAUUCCAGAGAAUCCCCUGAAGUAUCUGUAUCCGAAUAUUGAUAAAGACCAUGCCUUUGGGAAAUACUACUCCAGGCCAAAGGAAGCCCCAGAACCAAUGGAACUCGAUGGCCCUAAAGGAACUGGAUACAUCAAGACAGAGUUGAUUUCUGUGUCUGAAGUUCAUCCCUCUCGACUUCAGACCACAGACAACCUGCUCCCCAUGUCUCCCGAGGAGUUUGACGAGGUGUCACGGAUAGUGGGUUCUGUCGAGUUCGACAGUAUGAUGAAUGCAGUAUAGAGCAUGAAUUUUUCUCAUCUUCUCUGGCGACAUUUUUCCUUCCCAUCUGUGAUUCCCUCCUGCGCUCUGUUCCUUCACAUCCUAUGUUUCUAGGGAAAUGAAACAAAGACGAACAAAUUUGCUGCAACCUGUUGAUAGCAAGUGGAUUUUCCCCAAAUUCAGAAACGUCUGUUACUCUGAAAGGCUUCAUGCAUCUAAAGAAAGCUCUGCCCCAUCUUCAAGAAUCAACACUUCCAUCUUCUUCAUGCCCUGAACCACACAGCCUCCCUCCAACUCCUCAACUCAUUCUCAGCAGAAGGCCUCUUCGUACUCUUUAGCAAAAUGGAAACCCAUUGGUAACUUCAACUUCUCCCUACCAUGUCUGCAGACCUACUUACCAACCUCUCAAUGUCCUAAUUUAUUGGAAGAGAUGCUUUUUUUCCCACCAAACCCAAUCCCCCACUUGGGCUGAGAGCUCCGUUUCUUUCUAGAGAUAUCACUUUGCUGGUCAUUUCCGCUCUCCUGUAUCUAUUUCAAAUUCUCCUUCUUUACUGGGAUUUUUUCAAUCAGGAGCAAAACCUGCUCUACUCCAAUAGUUCUCUGACCUUUAAAUCUGAAAGCCAAGAAAAUUUCCUUAACUGGGGAGGAGAUGACCAGUAUGGACUGCCGAUUUUUAAAAAAUUUUCUGAGCACAUACAGUAAAAUAGUGCCACCAUCUACAGAUAUCAUUUACUAAAUAAAAGGGCAUUUUAACACCAAAAGAAAAGUAGGAAAAAUGUAAUGUAAAUGGAUACCCCUCAUUUUACUUAAUGCUAAUCUGCUUUGGUAUAGUUGACUGUUCCAAAUUUCUUAAAAUACUCCUUCCUUGACUUCUACUGUAUGAUGCUGGAUUUUCUUCUAAUGGGACAUUUGUCCCUAGUGGGAGACUUGCGUACUAUACUACUUUUAAAAUGGGAGUCUCUUAUGGUUCCCUCUCAUUCUGCACUGUCUUCUGGAGCAUUCUCACACAGCUUGACAGUUUCAAAUCUACUCUCUCCAUGCUAACAACUUACAGAAAUAUAUCUCCAACUCAGACCACUCUCCUAAGUAUUUAGGCCUAUAUCUGAUACUCAACAUCACUACUUGGGUAUCUCAUAAAUAUAAAUAUAGCAAAUGGAAGUUAGUUUUCUCCCACUGCCAAUUGCCUAUCUAUGAUCUAUCUAUUCCCUACCCCAUUCAUGCAAAAGAAUCUCUACUAAUUAAGGAUAGCAAUGUGCCAGAUUAAAAUUCUUCCCUAGAUUCCCCUGUAGCUACUCUGGCAAGUAUCAGAUGGAUUUCUGGAAACUGAUCUGGUUUAGGUUUUCCUCUUUGUUUUCUUCUUCCACUGUGACCAUGCAAGUGAGGCUAAAGGUGGAACAGUUAUCUUGCAACUCUAAGGUGACAGGCAGGAAGUCUGAAGCCAACACACUAAGGAUGGUUGCAGUCUAUCUUAGAGAUGCUGCACAACCUGGAUUUUCUACCCCCAGACUUCUUGAUUAUUAGAAGAAUAACCGCAUUCAUCUAAACCGCUACUAAUCUUACUCUUGAUAUCUAGUCUAAGAGACCCUUAAUUGUUACCACAACCAAAAUUCAUUUCGCCCUGUACUCCCAAGGUCUGCCUCUCCAGCGUUCUCCAUCUUAGUAAUGCAGCACCAUCUGCCCGAUCACUUACACGAAACCCUGGUGGUCCACGUGACAUCUCAUUCUUUUCAUCCACCAAAUAUAUCACCAAGUGCUGCCAACCUUCAUCUCUUCGACAUUUCUCCUGUCUACCUUUCUCACAGCUAUUUCCCCCUUUAAGCCACUAUCACAUCUCCUCUCAGGCCCAGAACUCAAUUUUUGUCUGCCUCUAAUCCAUUCACUACAAAGCAGGAUUUUAAAGCCAAAUCAUGUCACUCCCCUUCUUACAAGCCCUGAAGUCUCCCACUGCAUCUUAAAUAGUCCAAAACUCUGAAUGCGGCAAGCAAGAUCCUACAUAAAUAUUUCCCAAACUGUAUUCAGAGAAUAAUCUGCAGCAGAAACACCUGAGGUGCUUAUUAAAAAUGUAGACAUUAAACCAAUCUCUGAGGUUGUGCCUUAAGAUUCUGCAUCUUAAAGUUAGGACACACUAACAGUUCAAAUGUACAUUAAGACGCAAAGCCUACCUUACCUCACGUGGUCUCUGGAGACUCAUCCAGGGCCAGUCUCCAGCCACUUUGCCUCACCCCUCCUCCCAUCAUUUUUGCCUUCUUCCACCGUCACCACGUGCUCCUUCCUGUCCCUGGGCCUUCCGGGCAAACUAUCGCAUUAACCCUCACACCCUCCCUCUAACUCAUCCAGAACUUAACUAUCACCUUUCAGAAAAAACCAACCAUACCUACUCAACUGACAAAAUGUUUGUUUUUUGCUAUACCCUCUGCUGGCACUCUGUAAGUUUCUGUCAUUUCUUUUAUUUGCUUAUUUCUUAAAGAAAUAAAAUGUUAUAGAUAUA